GUAGCAGGACGGUCGUGUCGCUUGCCGAGUGUGCCAUCGGGCACUGAGCGGCAAGAGGAAAGUCCGGGCAACACAGAGCACCAUACUCUUUAACUGGGAGCUGUCGGUGACGGCAGAGUAACGUGACAGAGAAUGACUGCCACUCGCCCCCUGCGGGUAGAGGUGGUGAUGGUGAAAAGGUGGGGUAAGAGCCCACCGGGUGUCGUGGCGACACGGCAUGCCGCACGUCUUAUGGGUUGCAAGGCCAUGUAUACCGGCACGCGGACAGUACUCCACCAGCUGGAGUCGCCGCAAUGGGUUGCUCGCCCAUCGCCGGGGGGUAGGCUGCUCGAGCGUCGAAGCUAAGCGAGACGCCAAUUAGAUAAAUGACUGCGACCGCCGCGGUAACCUGUCAGUCAAACAUACGCCUGACGAGAAGUCCCGCGACGACAUAACCCGGCUUAUAGUCCUGCUACCUUU
rnacentral:RNase_P_RNA from 1 species